AGCCCAUCAAGGAUCAUUGAUCAUCAAGAUGAUGCUCGUGGAUCUCAUAAUCCGCUAAUGAUAUCUGACAGUAUGUAGUGGCAAUCCAGUAGAAUAAAAGAUGAUAAACCUCUAUAUGCAGUUAUCGUAUGAUAUAAUCCUUCUAUCAUGAGUCUCGACUGGAUGGUAGGUCAUUGAUGAAUCAUCAAACCUCAUCAUCAGUCAUAUGAUAGAUUCAAUUAGCUCCAGUCCAUAUGUGAUU
rnacentral:lncRNA from 1 species